CAUGCUGUGAGCACCUCUCCUCUGCCAGCCCGCUGUGCCAGGCCACCCUACAUUGGAGCCAGCUGACUUUGCACUGAAAACUCUGUGAAUGGAGCCAUGGUUUCGCUACUGGGAAAUAUUUGGACGUGGGCAAGUUCAACCCCAGGCCAGGGUUGUAAGAGACAGAUGGACAGACAAGAUCCUUGUCAAGAGCUCUUGAACCUACCCCACAAAAGAUGCCAAAGGCUUCCACAGUUGGGGAGGAAGACACCGUAUCAAGAAAAUGUAUUCUCAUUAGAG